GAUUGUCAGGCCUAACACAUGCAAGUCGAACGGUAACGACGAAGAUGAACCCUUCGGGGCGAUUUUUCGGGCGACGAGUGGCGAACGGGUGAGUAAUACGUAGGAAUCUGCCCAAUAGUGGGGAAUAACCCGGGGAAACUCGGGCUAAUACCGCAUAAGCCCUACGGGGGAAAGCGGGGGACCUUCGGGCCUCGCGCUAAUGGAUGAGCCUACGUCCGAUUAGCUUGUUGGCAGGGUAACGGCCUACCAAGGUUAUGAUCGGUAGCUGGUCUGAGAGGAUGGUCAGCCACACUGGGACUGAGACACGGCCCAGACUCCUACGGGAGGCAGCAGUGGGGAAUAUUGGACAAUGGGCGCAAGCCUGAUCCAGCAAUGCCGCGUGUGUGAAGAGGGCCCGCGGGUCGUAAAGCACUUUCAGCAGGGAAGAAAAUCCCGGAGUGAAUACCUCCGGGCCUUGACGUUACUUGCAGAAGAAUCGCACCGGCUAACUCCGUGCCAGCAGCCGCGGUAAUACGGGGGGUGCAAGCGUUAAUCAGAAUUACUGGGCGUAAAGCGCGCGUAGGCGGCUUGGUAAGUCGGAUGUGAAAUCCCCAAGCUCAACUUGGGAACUGCAUUCGAUACUGCCAAACUAGAGUAUGGUAGAGGGAAGCGGAAUUCCCGGUGUAGCGGUGAAAUGCAUAGAUAUCGGGAGGAACACCAGUGGCGAAGGCGGCUUCCUGGAUCAAUACUGACGCUGAGGCGCGAGAGCGUGGGUAGCAAACAGGAUUAGAUACCCUGGUAGUCCACGCCCUAAACGAUGAAAACUAGCCGUUGGGGGAGCUUGAUCCUUUAGUGGCGCAGCUAACGCGAUAAGUUUUCCGCCUGG
rnacentral:rRNA from 1 species